CCUACGGGUGGCAGCAGUGAGGAAUAUUGGUCAAUGGGCGCUAGCCUGAACCAGCCAAGUAGCGUGAAGGAUGACUGCCCUAUGGGUUGUAAACUUCUUUUAUAUGGGAAUAAAGUGCAGUAUGUAUACUGCUUUGCAUGUACCUUAUGAAUAAGGAUCGGCUAACUCCGUGCCAGCAGCCGCGGUAAUACGGAGGAUCCGAGCGUUAUCCGGAUUUAUUGGGUUUAAAGGGAGCGUAGGCGGGUUGUUAAGUCAGUUGUGAAAGUUUGCGGCUGAACCGUAAAAUUGCAGUUGAUACUGGAAGUCUUGAGUAAAGUAGAGGUAGGCGGAAUUCGUGGUGGAGCGGGGAAAUGCUUAGAUAUCACGAAGAACUCAGAUGGAGAAGGCAGCUUGCUGAACUGUAACUGACGCUGAUGCUCGAAAGUGGGGGGAUCAAACAGGAUUAGAUACCCGUGUAGUC
rnacentral:rRNA from 1 species